UUUCACCGAGCCCAGCCACAACGGCCUGCCCGCGGGCCGCUCCCGACCGUAGGUCGCCAACAGGGCCUGUGCCUC
rnacentral:antisense_RNA from 1 species